GAUGAAGAACGUAGCGAAAUGCGAUAAGUAAUGUGAAUUGCAGAAUUCAGUGAACCAUCGAAUCUUUGAACGCACAUUGCGCCCGGCAGUAAUCUGCCGGGCAUGCCUGUCCGAGCGUCAUUUCUCCCCUCGAGCGCAGCUUUCCCCCCCGGGGGAGGGCCGCGCCCGGUGUUGGGGCGCUACGGAGGAGCCCAGCGCUCCCCCGUAGGCCCCGAAAUGUAGUGGCGGUCCCGCCGCGGCGCCCCCUGCGUAGUAGUUUUACAACUCGCAUCGGGUCGCGGCGGAGGCCAGCCGUCAAACCCCCCAACUUCAAUAGUUUGACCUCGGAUCAGGUAGGGUUACCCGCUGAACUUAAGCAUAUCAAUAAGCGGAGGA
rnacentral:misc_RNA from 1 species